rnacentral:misc_RNA from 1 species
GAUGAAGAACGUAGCGAAAUGCGAUACUUGGUGUGAAUUGCAGAAUCCCGUGAACCAUCGAGUCUUUGAACGCAAGUUGCGCUCGAAGCCAUUAGGCCGAGGGCACGCCUGCCUGGGCGUCACACGUCGUUGCCCCCCCAUCUACUCCUUCGGGAUUGCGGGGGGCGGAUGAUGGCCUCCCGUGCGCCUCGCCGCGCGGUUGGCAUAAAUGCCAAGUCCUCGGCGACGCACGCCACGACAAUCGGUGGUUGCGAAACCUCGGUUGCCCGUCGUGUGCGGUCGUCGCGCAUCGAGGGCUCGAAAAAAUUGCCGGGUUCCGGCUCGGCUUUCAACGCGACCCCAGGUCAGUCGGGGUUACCCGCUGAAUUUAAGCAUAUCAAUAAGCGGAGGA